rnacentral:rRNA from 1 species
UGGGGAAUUUUCCGCAAUGGGCGCAAGCCUGACGGAGCAAUACCGCGUGAGGGAGGAAGGCUCUUGGGUCGUAAACCUCUUUUAUCAGGGAAGAACACAAUGACGGUACCUGAUGAAUCAGCAUCGGCUAACUCUGUGCCAGCAGCCGCGGUAAUACAGAGGAUGCAAGCGUUAUCCGGAAUUAUUGGGCGUAAAGCGUCCGCAGGUGGUUUUGGUAGUCUGCUGUCAAAGCGCGAGGCUCAACUUCGUAUCGGCGGUGGAAACUCCAAGACUAGAGCUAGGUAGGGGUCACGGGAAUUCCCAGUGUAGCGGUGGAAUGCGCAGAUAUAAGGAGGAACACCGGUGGCGAAGGCGCCACUCUGGGCCGAUACUGACGCUGAGGAGCGAAAGCGUGGGGAGCAAACA